rnacentral:lncRNA from 1 species
GAGCUGGCAUUGCACAGGUCAGUGCAGGCCAGACCACACUGGGCCUCCAACACCAGGCAGAAAGGGCAAGGGCUUUUUCUGGUGGGUACUAGGGAGCCAUGAGAGAGCUGAGAGCAGGGAAGGGGUGAGUGUAAGCGUAGAAAGAUCCCUCCUAAGCCAAGCAGGGGACAGACUGGAGGAGUGAGGCUGAAGUCCAGGCUGAUGGACCAGACGGAGUCUUGUUCUGUCAUCUAGGCUGGAGUGCAGUGGCCUGAUCUCAGCUCACCGUAACCUCUGCCUCCCGGGUUCAAGUGAUUCUCCUGCCUCAGCCUCGUUGAGUAGCUGGGAUUACAGGCACACGCCACCAUGCUGGGCUAAUUUUUGUAUUUUUUAGUAAAGCCGGGAUUUCACCAUGUUGGUCAGGCUGGUCUUGAACUCCUGACCUCAGCUGAUCCGCCCACCUUGGCCUCCCAAAGUGUUGGGAUUACAGGCGCGAGCCACUGUGCCCGGCCUAACCAGACAUCAUCAUAAGCACUGAGGAUGUGGCAGUGUGCUGGGCAGACAUGGAGUAGACAGGUAGUGUCUACUAAAGAUUGGCACUCUCCUAUGAGCUUCGUCUAUUAUGAACCCAUUUUACAGGUGAGGUCACUAAGGCACAAGAGGUUAUGCCUCUUUCUCAGGGUCACCCAGGGCCUCACAGGAAACCCCACCAUCACAGAGCCUCCAGGACAGCUGCCUAGUCCCACAUCUUCCUCAGCCCUCAAAUCUUGCCUAUUAUGAGGCAGAACGCAGCACUGAAGAACAGAGUCCGAGGCACCCUGGGCUCAGUUGCAACUCUGCUGGGCACCCAACACAGACUGUGCUGCCCUCUCUUGGAGCCUCAGCUUCCUCAUCUGUAGAUGAGGAUAACAGUAUCUACCUACUAGGAUGGGUGAAAAUUACACAAG